UUCAGAAUCUUGUCGAGGGAAAAGCAUUGGCAGCGAGAAACCUUCCAAUUCGUCUUCCAAUUGGAGCUAUUCUCAACCCACCAACAUUGAUUUAUGAGUGAGAUAUUUAAUGAGAGGAUGAAAAUUAUAAAUUUAUUACAGGCAUCAAGAAAAUCAAGUUGGAUGUUCAUUGAAAGAUUUCUUGAAGAACUUUGAUACUCAUUUGGAUUUGGCACAAAGAAUCAAGG
rnacentral:sRNA from 1 species